rnacentral:rRNA from 1 species
UACAGAGGGGGCAAGCGUUGUUCGGAAUUACUGGGCGUAAAGGGCGCGUAGGCGGCCUUCUAAGUCGAACGUGAAAUCCCCGGGCUCAACCCGGGAACUGCGUCCGAUACUGGAAGGCUUGAAUCCGGGAGAGGGAUGCGGAAUUCCAGGUGUAGCGGUGAAAUGCGUAGAUAUCUGGAGGAACACCGGUGGCGAAGGCGGCAUCCUGGACCGGCAUUGACGCUGAGGC